rnacentral:lncRNA from 1 species
CAGAAUAACGUGCACCAGAGGGCACUGCUCUGCUAAACUGGGAGGGAAUGUGCUUACAACAAGCCUUGGGGAAGCCAGCUAAUAUCUGAGCAGAAUCAAGAGCCCUGCCAUCAAUGGAAUCAAUGUUGGAAAUGCACUUGGCUUUAGGAGUCAGAAUAAUUGGCAGCUGCAAGGAAACAGUAUCCUAUUCCAGAAGAGUCAGCUCAUUUGAAUUGUGAAGGAAGAACAAUCUAUACAGGGGAAAUGGAAGAUGUGAAGGGAGACCAAGGCCUCUGGAAAGGAAGUUGAUAAUUUUGCAGGUGA